UAGAGACGCAUUGCAAAAUCUUGCCUGCUCGCUCUAUAUGGAAUGAAGCAGGAUUAAUUCUGCCACUACCCUGCCCGGAAAAAUCGACCGCAUUGUUUUUGCAGAACGAGUGGACAAAGAAGCAAGCCAUGUAUGAAAACUAAUUGCUCGCGUGGGUAAGCAUAUAUUGGCUAUCAAGAGAAAUACACGCGUUAAACUAUGCGUGGGUGGUGUUCCUUCAAACGACAAGGGAAGUUAACGGCCAACAUUAUCAAGGAGAGCAGGAUGUUUGGCAACCUUGAUUUGAUUAUCAUAAAAUACAAUAAAUAGUGGUUAUCUAUUCUAGGCUGUCAUUGUAGUCGUCGACCUUCACAAACAUCUCAGACUUUUAAAGGCAGAAUAUCAGAAACGGUGUGGCUGAAUGUAACACCAAUCCAAAUGCGUCUGUUUCAAUCGCGUGUCCGUUCAAAAACACCAGUCUGACAACCCAUUGCUUCAAAGGAUCCUUAACUGCAUGUCUUUCUACCUUCAUCAUUCAUAAUGCCAAAAUUGGUACAUGCAUAUUGCACUAUAUGAAUAUACCUCUAAUGCAGCCCAACGUGUCUUAUUCAAAGCGGCAAGGCUCACUUGACAGGCUACUCAUUUGACAGGCUACACUUUCCUGGGACGAUAGCUGGAUUUCGGAUUUGGUUUUUCGUUUGCAUAUCUUUUUCAGUCUCACUUGGAUUGUAUUGGGAUUAAGGUGGGGUUUUAACCCGAUGCAGUUAUCAGGGAUAUAUCUUUCCCGUGACAUCUGCCUCGGUCACUGGAUUUUUGAUAAUUAUGGUUUAAGAAAGGACUUCGCCUAACAAUUUGUCGACCAAUUUCUGAAGUUAAAGUCAACCCGUUGUUGGUUAUACUUUUCUCGUCAAUUUCACUCCUCUUCGACUAAAAAUGCUUCAGUAAGACAAUGUUUGAACAGUGGAAAUAACGCCCAUGUGCCUACCCAUAAACAUCCGCGGCGUAUCCUAUUAAUAACACCCGUAAAGCCUGCUUUGAAGUCAUCAUUGAGAGAGGCAAUUGAGAAGACUACAAAUACUGGCCUCUAGGUGUUUCUCUCUAAUGCCAGUGGGCGUCGUCCUACUCCCAGAGCUGUGACUGACUGCCAGAGGGACGGGAUGCCUAUACCCAUGUGAUAUCUGCCAUGGAGACCAGAGCUUGAUAUCUGG